AUUGAACGCUGGCGGCAUGCCUAACACAUGCAAGUCGAACGCGAAAGAGGGGCAACUCUCGAGUAGAGUGGCGGACGGGUGAGUAAUACGUAGGAAUCUGCCCUAGAGGGGGGGAUAACCUGUCGAAAGACGGGCUAAUACCGCAUAUACUCUGAGGAGCAAAGGUGGCUAGCAAUAGCCUUCGCUUUAGGAUGAGCCUACGUCGGAUUAGCUAGUUGGUAAGGUAAUGGCCUACCAAGGCAACAAUCCGUAGCUGGUCUGAGAGGACGAUCAGCCACACUGGAACUGAGACACGGUCCAGACUCCUACGGGAGGCAGUAGUGGGGAAUAUUGGACAAUGGGGGAAACCCUGAUUCAGCAAUGCCGCGUGUGCGAUGAAGGCCUGCGGGUUGUAAAGCACUUUCGUUGGGGAAGAAAUGCUCAAAGAUAAUACAUUUGAGAGCUGACGUUACCUAAAGAAGAAGCACCGGCAAACUCUGUGCCAGCAGCCGCCGUAA
rnacentral:rRNA from 1 species